rnacentral:lncRNA from 1 species
CAUCUUGAUGUUUUGGUUACUUGUCUGAUGUUGUAUACUUAACACAUUGGAAGGUCAAAUGUAUGUACUCUAUUGAUGUGUUUUGAUGUCUUGGAUGUUUGAUGUGUUAGUCAUCAUGUUCUGAUUAUUAUAGGUUUAUAGACUUUGAUGAUUCAUCGAUUUUCAUGCAGCAUUCUGCAGUGAGGAAGUAAAGUCUGGUUGUUUAAAAAUUAGAAGUGGGAUUAAUGCCAAUGAGUUACUAUCAGAAUAGGCCCAGACUUUGAUUUGAAUUUCUUACUUGUUGACUAGCAAUGCAAAAAUGACUAAAGAGGUUAUAAGAAAAAUCACAAGACAAUAUAAAAAUUGAAACAGCAUCAUAACCCCACGAAAAAUUGAAACAACAUCAUAACCCAACAAAAAAAUAAAAAAAAGUCAUCAAAACUAUUGGAAAAAACCAGAAGUUCGAUCUACACUAACCCCAACUAAAAGUGGGGAGUCUUCAAGUGUGCUGCUCUUGCUACAAUCUAGUGAUGAGGCAUUAUCAUAAGAAGAUUGUUUUAUACUCUUGAACAACCACAUACAUGAACCAUAUAUUUGGUACAUGGAAAUUCUC